AAUUUUUAAACAAAUGCAACCUUAUAAUUGCCAGGGUUUCUAUAAUUUGCUAUAAAUAUUUAAGAUUUUGACAAGCACGUGCUUCGCGCUUAAAAGUGUGACUUCGGCGGCAGCGCACUAGAGGGCAGUGUGCACCAACACGUGAGCAGCAGCCAAUCAAAACGCGCCUCUCCUUCGUCUGACGCCGGGACGCACAAAGACGCCCGAGCUCUUCUGCAGAUAAAACAACAACUCGCUGUUUCGGACAGCGGCCCUCCGCGCCUUUCAUUAGUCCGGAGUCUGUCAACGGCGAAUUACAAAGGACGGCAUCCGGCACAUUAAACGGAGUCGUUCGCCCCCUCCUUUCCUCUCCGACUACAGCACAUCUGCUUGCUGUCUGCUCCCCAGGGCCGGCGCUGUGUAAUCUAUUGCAUUAGCUCACAUUAGUGCAUAUCGCCCGUGGGUCUCGAUAAUCACGAACGCAAAAUGAGCAUCUCGCUUGGUAUCACCCUCGCGCGCCCCUCAAACGGAGGCCGGCGCGCGCGAGCGUCUGGAAGGAAGUGCAACCCCCGGCUCGUGACACGCUUCCUGUUUUGCCCGAGUCCCUCGGGCACGCUUUUCCGCGUCUCGGGGGUUUGACGCCGCGUUUAUUUGAUCGGCGAACGUCCUCGUUACCGCUGCUCGUGAAAGUUGGAGGGCUUCUUGUAAAUCUUUGGCCGUGAUGAGGGAGUUUAGCGCUGCUUUGUUUGGGAGUAAGGGAAAUGUUUUUUUUUUUCCAAGACAAACACGACCCCCAAAAUCAAAAGGAAUCGAAUUAAGAAAUUACAUUUGGCACGGACAAAAUAAAAACACACAUAUUUGUACAAUUUGAUGUUUUCAUUAUUUUGGUGUUGGUUAAUAACACUUUCGAUGAAUAGAAAAAUGUUACUUUUAAUUUAUUUUAAUUAUUACAUUUAAUUAUUCUGAGCGUUACAAUGUAGUUUUGCGUUUGCUUAUUAUUAUUAAUAUUUAAAUAAUUAUUAAAUGUUUAUUUAUUAUACUACGCGGCCGUUGAAUGCUUGAAGCUGAUUGGUUGACGACCUCACGGCGAAUGUAGUUCCAGGCAGUUCUUUGACCGCGUUACAGUUCCGUAUCACUUCGCCAAACGCUUUCUAUUAUUUCAAAGGUGUCGCAAGAGCGAAAUAACCGACAGACACCGGUCAAAAAUAAAUACAAUAAUCAGUAUGAUGAAAACGACAGCUCAUUUACAUGUUUUGACACAAGGUUACGUUUUAUUAUGCACGGCAAGCACAUAUCCCCCCUCUCUCCCUCAGAGACGCACACGCGCACGUUAACUGGCGCGCUAAUGUCGUUAGCGCCAAAUUACUCUGAAGACUUUAUCCAACUUAAAAAAACAACUUGACCUCACAAGCGAGGUAACAACGGCGCUGAUAGUGAACGAAUUUGAUUUAAAGCUUCACUGUUUUGGCCGAGCACUUUUGAGCGACGCACAGACUCGGAGGUGCGGGCCCCUUUGCGCCCCCGGGGUCACACCCUGCAGAAGAGACGUUUAUUUCCACCGGGCUCUGCUUUAUUCACCGCAGGAGGUGUUGCUUUUCGCUGACGCAGGGAUCUGGCCCGCAGCGCGCCGGGCCCCACGCAACGCUGUGUGCAGCAGCUCGGGUGUUCUGCUGCUUCUUUGUUUCGGGGGCGUCUGUCUUCUCCUCGCUCCAGCAGCACAUGGAAACUUCGUAUGGGUCGUGCGGCCUCUUCAUGGGCGAUGCUGUCGUCAUCGAUAAUUGCCUCCUCCAGAUUGUCAACGUGCAUGAAUUAGCAACUGGGCCAGACGAGCACGGUGAGACUCAAGGAAUCCGAUUUGUGUUUUUUUUUUUUCUUCGCUGUGAUUGCUCAUCAUCGUCGGUGGAUCCCUCUGAGAAAGAAGGGAGAUAUAAUGGCUCUUGCGGAAAAAAACAGUCGCUGGCCUCGGGAAAGGGAUUUGGGUGUCUGGAGACAAGCAGGACCAUAUGGAGCGGGCUAAGAUAGCAAGGCACACGUUCAGAAUAAUGGAUGAUGUGUCAUGUUUCAUGUUGCUAAGAAGCCAUCAAGAGACCUGGUUGGGGGAAAUCAAAAGACGUACGUACAGUAAAAGCGACUGUUGCGGCGUUUAAAGAUUUCGCUGGCUCCGUCGGCCCACGUUUGCUCUCUGCUGGCUGAACGCGUUAAUGGGAUGAGGAUUUUUAAGAAGUGAUAUCAUUGCCAUUGUUUUGUGAAAAUGGGGCAAAAACUAUCUUGACACACUUUUUUUUUGGACAGUAAAGCAGGCCCGGCUGCUGAAUAGUGUAGUAUUUCCUCAAGUUUUAAAGAAAUAGCUCACCUCCCAAUUAAAACAAUUAAAUCUGAUCGUUUGUUGAGCAGCAUAUUAGAAUGAUUUCUGAAGGAUCACGUGACACUAAAGAGUGGAGUAAUGAUGAGGAAAAUUCAGCAUCGCAGCACAGGAAUAUAUUACUUUCGAAAUAUAUAUUCAGAUAGAAAAAUAGUUAUUUAAGAUUAUUAUAAUAUUUCACAAAAUUGCAUAUUUUUUGUGUAUUUUUUAUUGUUUUAAAAACAGCUUUCGUGAGCAGAAGAUACUAUCAAGAACAUUAAACAAUGAUUAUUUAUGAUUAAUUUAUGUAUUUAUUAGAAAUGAUUCCAAACCUAUCCAUUCCUCCUUCUGUUUAAUAGAAUAUAGG